AAUUUCCACUUUUAUCUCUCAAUCUGUUGGUAAACAUUGUGCUCCAUAGUAUUUGCAUCUCAUCUUUUCAUAUAAUUUGUAUUUGUUUACUUUUUCGUAUUGCUUUCUUCUUCGUUUUUUUUUGUUUUGGUGUUUUUUCAGCCAAGGGAUGCCGUUUUCGGCUAUGGGUGGGCUGGUGAUUUCAAUGGGACUCGCCGAUUUUCGCGUUUUCCAAUGAAUUUUUUAGGGAGAAAGGGUCUAUUCGGCAGAUUUCACCGUGACGGUGAUCGGCAGCGACAGUAAUAGUGUUUUACCGGCGAGUAUUAGCCAAAAUCGAUCACAGGAGUUGAAUUUUAGACAGUGGUUCGCUGAUUUUGCAGUUCUAGUGAGGGACGGGCUUGGCCAUUAUUUUUAUAGUUUUUUCGGUGAUGUUUGUAUUUGGUACUGAUAAGAUUUGUAUUUGUUAUAGUGUAGAUAUGUAUUUGUAUUUGGUAUUGUAAGAUUUGUAUUUGUUACAGUAUAGAUAUAUAUUUCUUUUGUUUUUAAUCUUAUAAUUUAUGGACAAUAUGUUCAUAUAUGAAUUUUUAUCUUUAUAGUGUGAAGAUAUGUGUCUGUUAAAUUUAAGAUAUGUAUUUGUAUUUUAGGAAUUAUAUAAGAUGUAUUUGU
rnacentral:lncRNA from 1 species